UCCUGCUUAUCACAGGCAGUUUCCUUAGAGUUCCCACCAUUACGUGUUGGCAACUAAGGACGAGGGUUGCGCUCGUUGCGGGACUUAACCCAACAUCUCACGACACGAGCUGACGACAGCCAUGCAGCACCUGUGUGCUAGCCACCCGAGGUGAAAGAAUCCAUCUCUGGAAACUAAACUAGCCAUGUCAAGGCCUGGUAAGGUUCUUCGCGUUGCCUCGAAUUAAACCACAUGCUCCACCGCUUGUGCGGGUCCCCGUCAAUUUCUUUGAGUUUUAAUCUCGCGACCGUACUUCCCAGGCGGCACGUUUAACGCGUUGGCUACGCCACAAAAGGGGUCGAUUCCUUUUACAGCAAACGUGCACCGUUUACGGCGUGGACUAC
rnacentral:misc_RNA from 1 species